CAGUGGUUUCCUUUGGAGGAUGUGCCACACGGUGAAGUUCAUCUUAAGCUCCAGUGGUUUUCCCUUCAGACUGACACCAGCCUACUGCAGGAGUCCAAUGACAACUUUGCCUGUGCCAUACUUGCGGUGUAUCUGGACAAUGCCACAGAUCUACCUAACUCAGACCAACAGAGGCUCAGGAAAAACUCAAAAGAAGCGCGG